rnacentral:lncRNA from 1 species
GUGAAUGUCAGCAUGUUCAGAGGAGCACUGCCAGGGUGCUGAGGAAGUCUAUAGCAGGAGGACCUGGGGGUGUUUAGCUUGGGGAAGAGAAGGUCCAAAAGAAUGCGAAAGGUGAGCUCAGGGUAUAGAGGGAGCAGGGCCAAGAAGCAUGGGGGCUGCAGAGCCAGCUCUAGGUUACAAGCACUGCCCUGCAGAGGAUCUGGAUGUGACUGGAAGUACCCACAGGGUGGCUCACAACCACCCAUAAUGCCCUUCCAGGGGAUCCGGUGUCCUCAUCUGGCCUUCAGGAAUCAGGCACGAGGCACGCAUGCAGUGAGUUU